rnacentral:rRNA from 1 species
UCGAGUGGCGAACGGUUGAGUAAAACGUGGGUGAUCUGCCCUGCACUUUGGGAUAAGCCUGGGAAACUGGGUCUAAUACCGAAUACACCCUGCUGGUCGCAUGGCCUGGUGGGGGAAAGCUUUUGCGGUGUGGGAUGGGCCCGCGGCCUAUCAGCUUGUUGGUGAGGUUACGGCUCACCAAGGCGACGACGGGUAGCCGGCCUGAGAGGGUGACCGGCCACACUGGGACUGAGAUACGGCCCAGACUCCUACGGGAGGCAGCAGUGGGGAAUAUUGCACAAUGGGCGCAAGCCUGAUGCAGCGACGCCGCGUGGGGGAUGACGGCCUUCGGGUUGUAAACCUCUUUCAGUAGGGACGAAGCGCACGUGACGGUACCUACAGAAGAAGGACCGGCCAACUACGUGCCAGCAGCCGCGGUAAUACGUAGGGUCCGAGCGUUGUCCGGAAUUACUGGGCGUAAAGAGCUCGUAGGUGGUUUGUCGCGUUGUUCGUGAAAACCGAGGGCUUAACCCUCGGCGUGCGGGCGAUACGGGCAGACUUGAGUACUGCAGGGGAGACUGGAAUUCCUGGUGUAGCGGUGGAAUGCGCAGAUAUCAGGAGGAACACCGGUGGCGAAGGCGGGUCUCUGGGCAGUAACUGACGCUGAGGAGCGAAAGCGUGGGGAGCGAACAGGAUUAGAUACCCUGGUAGUCCACGCCGUAAACGGUGGGUACUAGGUGUGGGUUUCCUUCCUUGGGAUCCGUGCCGUAGCUAACGCAUUAAGUACCCCGCCUGGGGAGUACGGCCGCAAGGCUAAAACUCAAAGAAAUUGACGGGGGCCCGCACAAGCGGCGGAGCAUGUGGAUUAAUUCGAUGCAACGCGAAGAACCUUACCUGGGUUUGACAUGCACAGGACGCUGGUAGAGAUAUCAGUUCCCUUGUGGCCUGUGUGCAGGUGGUGCAUGGCUGUCGUCAGCUCGUGUCGUGAGAUGUUGGGUUAAGUCCCGCAACGAGCGCAACCCUUGUCUCAUGUUGCCAGCACGUUAUGGUGGGGACUCGUGAGAGACUGCCGGGGUCAACUCGGAGGAAGGUGGGGAUGACGUCAAGUCAUCAUGCCCCUUAUGUCCAGGGCUUCACACAUGCUACAAUGGCCGGUACAAAGGGCUGCGAUGCCGUGAGGUGGAGCGAAUCCUUUCAAAGCCGGUCUCAGUUCGGAUCGGGGUCUGCAACUCGACCCCGUGAAGUCGGAGUCGCUAGUAAUCGCAGAUCAGCAACGCUGCGGUGAAUACGUUCCCGGGCCUUGUACACACCGCCCGUCACGUCAUGAAAGUCGGAAACGACCCGAAGCCGGUGGCCUAACCCCUUGUGGGAGGGAGCCGUCGAAGGUGG